UACGUAGGGGGCAAGCGUUGUCCGGAAUCAUUGGGCGUAAAGAGCGUGUAGGCGGCUCGAUAAGUCCGCUGUGAAAGUCCAAGGGCUCAACCCUGGAAGGCCGGUGGAAACUGUCGGGCUAGAGUCCGGAAGAGGCGAGUGGAAUUCCCGGUGUAGCGGUGAAAUGCGCAGAUAUCGGGAGGAACACCAAUGGCGAAGGCAGCUCGCUGGGACGGUACUGACGCGUGAGACGGCGAAAGCGU
rnacentral:rRNA from 1 species